AGCAGUGUGGCAUAGUAAGUAGGGCAUAGGUUUGGGAGUCAUAAGGUCAUGGGUUCUAAUCCCAGCUCUGCCA
rnacentral:tRNA from 1 species